rnacentral:tRNA from 1 species
GCCAUCAUAGUAUAGUGGUUAGUACACCACGUUGUGGUUUUCCGUGGAAACCUCAGUUCGAUUCUGGGUGAUGGCA